UACGUAGGGUGCGAGCGUUGUCCGGAAUUACUGGGCGUAAAGAGUUCGUAGGCGGUUUGUCGCGUCGUUCGUGAAAACUUGGGGCUUAACUCCAAGCGUGCGGGCGAUACGGGCAGACUUGAGUACUACAGGGGAGACUGGAAUUCCUGGUGUAGCGGUGAAAUGCGCAGAUAUCAGGAGGAACACCGGUGGCGAAGGCGGGUCUCUGGGUAGUAACUGACGCUGAGGAACGAAAGCGUGGGUGGCGAACAGG
rnacentral:rRNA from 1 species